UACGAAGGGGGCUAGCGUUGCUCGGAAUCACUGGGCGUAAAGGGUGCGUAGGCGGGUCUUUUAAGUCAGGGGUGAAAUCCCGAGGCUCAACCUCGGAACUGCCUUUGAUACUGGGGAUCUCGAGUCCGGGAGAGGUGAGUGGAAUUGCGAGUGUAGAGGUGAAAUUCGUAGAUAUUGCAAGAACACCAGUGGCGAAGGCGGCUCACUGGCCCGGUACUGACGCUGAGGUGCGAAAGCGUGGGGAGCAAACAGG
rnacentral:rRNA from 1 species